rnacentral:rRNA from 1 species
GAUGAACGCUGACAGAAUGCUUAACACAUGCAAGUCGAUGGGGAAGUGGUGCUUGCACCAUGGUAACCAUGGCGGACGGGUGAGUAACGCGUAAGGAACUUACCUGCGGGACCGGGAUAACAGCAGGAAACUGCUGACAAGACCGGAUAAGGUCAUUAAGCUGCAUAGCUUAGUGAUGAAAGGAGACGCCUGCGGAGAGCCUUGCGUCCUAUUAGCUAGUUGGAGGGGUAACGGCCCACCAAGGCGAAGAUAGGUAGCCGGCCUGAGAGGGUGGACGGCCACAAGGGGACUGAGAUACGGCCCUUACUCCUACGGGAGGCAGAAGUGGGGAAUAUUGGACAAUGGGGGCAACCCUGAUCCAGCAAUUCUGUGUGCACGAAGACGGUUUUCGGAUUGUAAAGUGCUUUCAGCAGGGAAGAAGGAAGUGACGGUACCUGCAGAAGAAGCGACGGCUAAAUACGUG